UACGGAGGGGGCUAGCGUUGUCCGAAUUUACUGGGCGUAAAGCGCGCGUAGGCGGGUUGGUAAGUCCGCUGUGAAAGCCCGGAGCUCAACUCCGGAGGGUCGGUGGAUACUGCCAGUCUUGAAGGUGCUAGGGGGAGAUGGAAUUACCGGUGUAGCGGUGAAAUGCGUAGAUAUCUGGAGGAACACCGGUGGCGAAGGCGGCAUCCUGGACCGGCAUUGACGCUGAGGCGCGAAAGCCAGGGGAGCAAACGGG
rnacentral:rRNA from 1 species